rnacentral:rRNA from 1 species
GACGAACGCUGGCGGCGUGCUUAACACAUGCAAGUCGAACGGAAAGGCCUCUUUCGGGGGGUACUCGAGUGUCGAACGGGUGAGUAACACGUGAGUAACCUGCCCUUGACUUUGUGAUAACUUCAGGAAACUGUGGCUAUUACCGCAUAUGAGCUCCUGCUCCAUGGUGGGGGUUGGAAAGUUUCGGCGGUUGGGGAUGGACUCGCGGCUUAUCAGCUUGUUGGUGGGGUAGUGGCUUACCAAGGCUUUGACGGGUAGCCGGCCUGAGAGGGUGACCGGCAACAUUGGGACUGAGAUACGGCCCAGACUCCUACGGGAGGAAGCAGGGGGGAAUAUUGCAAAAUGGGGGGAAGCCUGAUGCAGCAACGCCGGGUGCGGGAUGACGGCCUUCGGGUUGUAAACCGCUUUCGCCGGUGACGAAGAUUGAGUGAAGGGAAUGGGUAAAGAAAGACCGGCUAAAUACGUG